GCAAAUAUAACUUAACGGUUAAAGUAUCAGACUGUGACUCUGAAAAUACGGGUUCGAUUCCCGUUAUUUGCC
rnacentral:tRNA from 1 species